rnacentral:rRNA from 1 species
UACGUAGGGUGCGAGCGUUGUCCGGAAUUAUUGGGCGUAAAGGGCUCGUAGGCGGUCUGUCACGUCGGGAGUGAAAACUCGGGGCUCAACCCCGAGCCUGCUUCCGAUACGGGCAGACUAGAGGUAUGCAGGGGAGAAUGGAAUUCCCGGUGUAGCGGUGAAAUGCGCAGAUAUCGGGAAGAACACCCGUGGCGAAGGCGGUUCUCUGGGACGGUGCUGACGCUGAGACGCGAAAGCGUGGGGAGCGAACAGG